GCCAGUGUGGCGCAGUGGUUUGAACGUCAUACUAUGACACUGAAAACCAGGGUUCAAAUCCCGGCUCGGCA